rnacentral:pre_miRNA from 1 species
AUAUGCCUGGCUCCCUGUAUGCCACUCGCGUAGCUGCCAACGACCUCGUUCAAGCACUGCCCUUCUCCCGGCAUUGUUCCUAGGUUGGCUCUACCGCGGAUGGCGUGCGAGGAGCCAAGCAUGA